GGGGUUGUAGCUUAGUGGUUGAGUGCUUGCCUUGCAUGCAUGAGGCACUGGGUUUGAUCCUCAGCACCACA
rnacentral:tRNA from 1 species